CAGCCGCCACGGUAAUACGUAGGUGGCAAGCGUUGUCCGGAAUUAUUGGGCGUAAAGGGCUCGCAGGCGGUUUCUUAAGUCUGAUGUGAAAGCCCCCGGCUCAACCGGGGAGGGUCAUUGGAAACUGGGAAACUUGAGUGCAGAAGAGGAGAGUGGGAUUCCACGCGUAGCGGUGAAAUGCGUAGAGAUGUGGAGGAACACCAGUGGCGAAGGCGACUCUCUGGUCUGUAACUGACGCUGAGGAGCGAAAGCGUGGGGAGCAAACAGGAUUAGAUACCCGAGUAGUCCCUGUCUCUUAUAC
rnacentral:rRNA from 1 species